GAAGUGCGAUAAGCAAUGCGAAUUGCAGAACCGCGAGUCAUCAGAUCUUUGAACGCAAGUGGCGAUAGCUAUGGCUAUCAUGUUUGUUUCAGUGUAUCCGGUUAAUUACAUCAAAGAACUUAAUGUGAUUGAAGCAGUUCUCUCACCAAGUACGGAGUUACUUCAGCGUAACGCCUAACCGAAGCAGUCACUAACUGGUGAUCAUCGUUUAGAGCCGAAACUGGUAAGCAGUAACUCGAUAACCGUUUAUCCACUAAUGGUACCUGAAAUAAGCAAGAUUACCCGCUGAACUUAA
rnacentral:misc_RNA from 1 species